CCUACGGGAGGCUGCAGUGAGGAAUAUUGGUCAAUGGGCGCGAGCCUGAACCAGCCAAGUAGCGUGAAGGCUGACUGCCCUACGGGUUGUACACUUCUUUUCUCCCUUCAUACAUUGAGUCACGUGUGCCUUUUUGUAUUUACUUUAUGAAUAAGGAUCUGCUAACUCCGUGCCAGCAGCAGCGGUAAUACGGAGGAUCCGAGCGUUAUCCGGAUUUAUUUGGUGUAAAGGGAGCGUAGAUGGGUUGUUAAGUCAGUUGUGAAAGUUUGCGGAUCAAACGUAACAUUGCAAGUGAUACUGGCAGUCUUGAGUACAGUUGAGGUAGGCGGAAUUCGUGGUGUAGCGGUGAAAUGCUUAGAGAUCACGAAGAACUCCGAUUGCGAAGGCAGCUUACUAAACUGCCACUGACAUUGAUGCUCGAAAGUGUGGGUAUCAAACAGGAUUAGAGAAAAGGGUAGUC
rnacentral:rRNA from 1 species